AAAUUCAUUAGUCUCUAAGGUGCCACAAGUCCUCCUUUUCUUUUUGCAGAUACAGACUGACACGGCUGCUACUCUGAAACAGGAUACUUUGUUGGUCCAACACAGAACGUUGGCGCAGGUCCCUGCGACGGUGCAAUGACUCACCCCUGCAGCGCCUCCUGCUGGCCAUCUGGGAAUUAGCUCUUUCCAGCACUGAGCACCCUCUGCAGGCCCGUGUCCCUCCCAGACCCCAGUGCCAGAGAGGGGAACGCCAAACCCUCUAAUCCCCACCUUGCCUCAGUCUGGCCUACUGCCCAUCAUCAUGAAGCCCCUGCACCCUGGGGUAGACUGCAGUGUAAGAGCCAAUCAUCACAGGUGAGGGGGUUUGCGUCUGCUGCCUUUCCCUGCAACCCAGUACCCCUAUGGGCCUUGGACCAGGCCUGACAACCUGGGGAGUUGCCAGCCUAGGGCUUCCCUGCUCCUCUUGCCUUUCUCCAGCCCUACCUCAUUCCCAGUGCUCUUUCUACAGACAACCAGGCCCUGCUCCCUUCAAGACUAGAGAAAAAGACCUUGUCCUACUGGCCCACUGCCCUCUUAUAAGGGCCAGCUGGGCCCUGAUUACCCAGGCUACAGCUGUGGCUGCUUUCCCCAUCAGCCCAGCUGUUGUUUAUCCCUUUCAUAGAUAUCAAGGUCAGAAGGGACCAUUAUGCUCAUUUAGUCUGACCUGCACAAUGCAGGCUACAGAAUCUCACUCACCCACUCCUGUGAAAAACCUCUCACCUCUUUUAGAAGGACUGAUUGCAAAGGAGAUACCUGGGAUGACUCUUUUUGCUAAUCUAGGUGAUAUUAUUGUUUUGCCUCCUGAUUUAUAGGAAACACAGAGAAUUCCCUGAGCCAUGCACAGUGGGAGCACAUGCUGCUUCAGAGCUUCCUGUAUAAGGCGCUAGGAAUGUCCUUAGCAGCUUGUGAGGACCUGGUCCAUGUGAAAUCACAGAUUCAUACACUUCUGACAACAACAGAUUAUAUGGAAGCCCCUGAGAGACAGGGAGUCAUUUCCAUCCUCACAGGCUGUGCUGAGAGCCACUUGGACCUCGUCUUGAAUGCACUUCAGGAGUUUGGGGCUGCAAUGAGCAAGGUUAAGAUUUCUGGGUUCAUCAGCCACCUGAAGUUGUCUAGGACUACUGCCAUGGGACAAGAGGCAAGACUCGCAGCACCCUGAUGCUGACAUACAGCAACGUGGCUGUCCAUGCUCCAAAAGAGCAGCUUCUCUCCCGAGUAGAGGUAGACAUCACAGGGAACGUCCUUCACCGUUACAGAACCAGUUGUCAGGUGUCUGACUGCUGGUACUGACUCUCCUCUCAGUGCAACCUCGCCACAUCACUUUGCCAUUCAAUUCUGCCCUGUCUAACUGAGACUCUCAUUUAGCCAUUGUCAAAAAAGUUGAUCACAGUUGAACCAAACGGAUACCUUCCAGGAGUUCACAAAUGCAAAUAUUCCGAGGAUGGCCCCUGAUCUUGAC